UUUCACCUACUAAAAACACUACAAUCAGCACCUUAGCAAGAAAGCUCCAACAUCACAUAUGAACGUUCUUGUUUGAAAGCUUUCAACAUUCUUGCUUGAAUGCUCACAAAAUGUCAAGAAUUCCAUAACAACAUCAAAAAGCUCCAGCGUCAAAUAUGAACAUAUAUACAAAACGUUAGAAAUUCCAACAAGCUUCAACGACCAAAUCAAUUCCAGCAAGUAUUUUUAGCACCUUAGCAACGUAAAAUUUUGCGGUUCUAAAGGAGUAGGGUGCAACCUUUUCCAAGAAUAUCAUAUGGGUUUUUCCCUACUCCAGGUAUGCUAAAGUCCUCCCUUCUUUCUUUUGGAAUGAUUCAAAUUAUACUGAAGAAACGAGCAAACAUACAGUUUUCAUAAAUUACUCUAUUCAUAGAAUUAUUAGGGGUGUCUAUAUUAUUAAUUCCCUAUGAAAAUUAUUAUUAUUUUUUGUUCAUCGGUCUCAAAAUAAUACGCAGUUGGAAAAGUUUAUCUGGAAGGAAUAUUGAGAUUAUUACGUAUUUUUCAUACAUUUCACUCAUGUGCAUUGACCCAUGACCAAAUGGCAUUAUAUACGUGUAUAUAUAUAAAUAUAUGUAUAUGGGAUAUGAAAAAAGGCUACGGUGUAAUAUAAGCACCACCAGCUGAUCAGCUGGUAUAUGAUAAUGAUGUUUCUCACAGUGGCUGGAAUAUGAUUCAAAUGAUGUUAUAUACGCGUAUAUAUGUAAAUAUAUGUAUAUGGGAUAUAUGAAAAGGUUAUGCCGUUAUAUACGCACCACCACCUGAUCAGUUGGUAUAUGAUAAUGGUGUUGCCCAUAGUGGCUGAAAUAUGAUUCAAAUGACGUUAUAUACGCGCAUAUAUGUAUGUAUAUAUAUGUAUAUGAUAUAUGGGAAAGGUUNNNNNNNNNNNNNNNNNNNNNNNNNCAUGUACCUAUGGACGACAUGACAUUCAUACGCAUAUCCAUGACGCUAAAAGUAAUUUAUAAUUUACAAAGUUAUUAAGACUUACAGGUUGAGUCAUGUACUCUAUAUUUCUUCCAUGUCUCUUAUGUACUUAUUUAUGUGCCUUACAUAAUCAGUACAUUAUUCAUAUUGAUGUCCCUUUUGCCUGGGGACGCUGCGUUUCAUGCCCGCAGGUCCCGAUAGACAGGUCGAGAGCCCUCCAAGUAGGCUAUCAGCUCAGCGGAAGAUGUUGGUAUGCUCCAUUUUCUUCAGAGUUGCUUGUUUGGUUAGUAUGAUUUAGACAUGUAUUGUUUGGUAUGGUGGGACUUUGUCCCGACCUUUAUGAAAUUUAUGUACUCUUAGAGGCUUGUAAACAUAUGUUGUGUAUGUGAAAGAUUGUACGGCCUUGUCGUCCUAUGUUUUGAGUUUAUAAAUGAUUAUGUUGGCCUAUUAGGAUCAUUUGUCACGUGUAUAUGAUGAUGUAUUAAGAAAAGUAAGUUACGUUGGUGCUUGGUCGAGUAAGGCACCGGGUGCCCGUCGCGGCCCAUCGGUUUGGGUCGUGACAAGGGUGAAGGGCAUUCUCUCUAUCAUGCUCGAGUAAUGCCUGAUCAUAUAAUCCACGAACCAGAACGAAGGAUGAACUUGACAUAGGGUUACCUGAUAACUCCGACAGAAGUCGAGAAUCACAGGGUCGAUCGGAGGUGAGGAUGGCCCCACCAGACCUAAUGUGAAUAGGUAGGUAUACACACUCAUAAAGCCGGCUCUACGAGCCGUAAUAUCUUCCUCCCAAGUGGGAGUCUCCACUAGCACGGUAUCCCCUCAGCAACAGUCGACCCUCACUCUUUCGAUGUCCAUUAUAGAGCUGAUAUACCGAGUUACAGGCUCGCGGUGCCCUGACUUUGAGGAAGGUCUCUCGACCCUAAAAUCGUAAGUCAUCACAAAGUAUCCCGGGACACACUCCUCGACACGGGGGGAAGUAGCCACUUCAACUUGAGAGAAAAACGAAGAAGAUGAGCCCGCAACCUCCUGGGAAGCAGAAGUGGAAAUUUUUUCCAUCCUUGAGAGAAUAUGAGGAAGAAGAAAAAGGGGUUGCGUUCCUAAAAAAGAGCGAGAACGAGGGAAAAAUAGACCUUACUAGGGGUUUUUUGGCAUGAGAUGGAGUCUAAAAAGGAAGAGGUGAGUAUUUAUAAAAGUACCAUGGGUAAAUUGAAGGAAGCCAACCGUCGCAGUCAAUGCGGAAACUUGCAGGGACAGCGCACAUGGUGCACCUUGGCAUCUCGUAGUAGUUUGCAAGAACAUCGAAGGAAGCAGGAGUUCAGGACCGUUUCUUAUCAUUUCUUGCCACUUUCACUCUAAGAAACGUGGAGACUAUCUGUAUACGGGGAAUCUCGCGAUCAUGCUCCUCGAAGCUCGAAGCCAAGGUCGAGACUCACCCUCGGGGGUCGUCAGGUGUCGGUCUAGAGGACAUCGCAUUCCAACAGCUGCAGUAAGCGAGAGGGGAGUUCCCAAGGCACACGACUUAAUUUGACAAGGCUGACCUACCAGGGGCCUAUGUCACGUCCGCUAUCUUAUUUCCACGCCUUUGCAGUUAACACGUUUUGUACUAUAACGGAUUUCCCUCCUAUAUAAAGGGGAUCCCCAUCACUUUGUAACCUUCGAGUGAUGCUCCAACUAUUUCUCCACAAGAUCAAUAAUAUCUCUCUCUCUCUUUCUUCUCUCUAACUUGCCCGUUCUUACUAGCUCGAGGCCACCCUUAGCGUUUAUUGCUUUCAUACUUGUUCUUAAUUUAUUACUUGGUAUAGGCCAUAAAGAGUCUUGUUUAAUCAUACCUUAACUGUUAUCCCAUUUCCUACUACCCCCGAUAGCUUCAGCUCGAGCCGGAUAUCGACCUCGAGGUUCUUCAUCGACCAUUCUGAGUCUCGAGCUGCCAGUCCCUCGGUUUGAUUACUGCCCCGUUUUAGCUUGUAUCUCUUCGUUAAACUUCAUAUUCUUAUAAUCAACUGCUCUAACAACUAGCAUAACAAUAGAUCAUGUAUUUUUAGAAUCCCAUUUACAAAUUUAAUUGUUGUUACCAUUUUCAUGGUAAACAGGUUGUGACAAGGCAUCAACAGCGAGUUUCGGGAUCAUUUGGCACAAGAAACGAGGAAGAAGAGUUGGAGGUUUUUGGCUAUUAAUGUUGUUGGAGUUUUUCUCAUCUUGAAAGUUUGGAAUUGGGAGAAAUCAAGAAUGUUCUUCAAGUUUAUUCCAUGGGCUAAGUGUUUUCUACUCAGUUUUUAUUAUAUUACGUGGUUCCAUCUACGUUUUUAGCAUUUGAUUGAUGAUUUCAAAAGAGAAAUUUGGGGUUUUUGUGUAAACUUUCCUAAAGUAAAUUUUUGAGUCUCGAACACCAAUUCAGACUCGGAAUUGAGUAAAAUUAUUAUAGUUCGACUCAUAAUUGAAUGGGCUUUUGAUUUUAUAAGUUUUGUC
rnacentral:lncRNA from 1 species